rnacentral:rRNA from 1 species
ACGAGAACACGCCUGAUCUCGUCCGAUCUCGGAAGGUAAGCAGGGUCGUGCCUGGUUAGUACUUGCAUGGGAGACGGCCUGGGAAUACCAGGU